ACCUCGGUGGUGUAGUGGUAGUACGCGUCCCCGGUAUGGACGAAACGCGGUUUGACUCCCGCCUGAGGUC